ACUUUAACAUGGAAGUACUUUC
rnacentral:miRNA from 2 species